rnacentral:tRNA from 1 species
AGUUAAUAAGCUAAAAAGCAUUUGUUUUGAAAACAAAAGAUAGAAUAACAUUCUAUUAACUU